UACGUAGGUGGCAAGCGUUUGUCCGGAAUUAUUGGGCGUAAAGCGCGCGCAGGCGGCUUCUUAAGUCUGAUGUGAAAUCUCGGGGCUCAACCCCGAGCGGCCAUUGGAAACUGGGAAGCUUGAGUACAGAAGAGGAGAGUGGAAUUCCACGUGUAGCGGUGAAAUGCGUAGAUAUGUGGAGGAACACCAGUGGCGAAGGCGACUCUCUGGUCUGUAACUGACGCUGAGGCGCGAAAGCGGUGGGGAGCAAACAGG
rnacentral:rRNA from 1 species